rnacentral:tRNA from 1 species
ACAGAGCCUUAGUAGUAUAACUAAUACACUGGUCU